UACGAAGGGGGCUAGCGUUGCUCGGAAUCACUGGGCGUAAAGCGCACGUAGGCGGAUUGCUAAGUCAGGGGUGAAAUCCUGGAGCUCAACUCCAGAACUGCCUUUGAUACUGGCGACCUUGAGUCCGGGAGAGGUGAGUGGAACUGCGAGUGUAGAGGUGAAAUUCGUAGAUAUUCGCAAGAACACCAGUGGCGAAGGCGGCUCACUGGCCCGAUACUGACGCUGAGGCACGAAAGCGUGGGGAG
rnacentral:rRNA from 1 species